CCAGCCUUGGGCCUUAAGUGAGAAGUUUGCGACAUAACGCUCAGGGCGUGGUUCGGAGGUCUUCGGGUUGACCUUCUUCGCUAUUACGCAAUAUCCAGAGAGGAAGGAAAAAUAGAAGAGAUUGUGUGAGCAAGCCAGUAAGGAAUCUAGUGGGUGUCAUGGCACUUGCUCCUCUGAAUAAAACACUGCAAGGAGCAAAGCACAGCAAUGGAUUCCAGCAAACAUGAGUCUGUGUGCUUUUCUGCAAGUAGCAGCCACCUGCCUACUCUGAAAGGAAUGAGGACUCAACAGAACCCAAAGCAAGAUGAAGUUCCUUCUAUACAUUGUCUUUGCUGUUAGCUGGAAUUUUGUUGUAACAACUUAAUUAAAUAUGGGUGGUGGUUUAUGAGCCAGUGGUAUUAGACUAACAGAAGAAUAGCAGGCAUGAAAGCAGUGAUAGAGUUGCUGCAGCGAUAAUCUACAUAAAUAUUGAAUACCAUAUAUGUUGGGGGAGGUUGUUCAAAAAUACAAUACCAAUAAAUUCAGUUGUUUUUAAAAUACAGAUGUAGUCAUGUUUAGCUACAUUGAUUCUAAAGGAAUGUGACAAUAGCCAGACCAUCAUAAAAACAAAGCUGGAAACAGCAUGAUGUUUUGAAAAUUUGGCAAAAUAAUGAGAAUGUAGCCCUCAGAAACUUAAUGAAUUUCAGCUCUCAAAGCAUGUUAGAAAAUUCUGCAGAACAUGUAAGUUGUCAUUCUAAGGCAAACUUUUAAACUGGGUCAUGUUUGAAGAUAAAUGUUUGUUCAUACCAUAGGAUGUUUAUUUAAGAAUAUUAUGUUGCAUUUGACUAUUAUAGAGAUAGUUCUGCUUAAUGAGGGCUCUUUCCUGUGGAGUGCAGCUGUUAUUUUACUGUCGUAAACACAAUAUUGCAACGUCACAAUAGAAGGAAAUAAGAAACACAUUAGUCUCUUGCUUAAAUUUUUCUAAUAUUACGGGCUAGUGUUCUGCCUGUGCUCCAUUCUGCAUUUAAGUCCAUGGUAAGAUGUCAGUGGCUUAGCUGGAGAAAGAACUGAAAUUCCAGUGGAUGCUUCUAGUGUUUGUCUCCUUUUCAGUCAAGUACACUCUUGUAAGGCUUUCUCUCAAGCAGGGGCAAAAGAGGGAGGAACACAUACUUAACAGGAGUUGGUUACCUUUUAUGCCAGUAGAUAAAAUUCUUCUCAUGAAUUACAAGCAGAUUCUGUAUCUUUUCCUUUGGAGGAAAAAAAAGGCUGGAAAAUGGAAGCUGGCCCAGUGAGAUCAAAACUUCUUUCAUGAGGACAUUCUUAAAAGACCAGGCCCAUAAUGAAACUGUUUAUAGAAGUCAGUGAAUUACUUACUUCUGUAAUUUAUCUUUUAAAUUUUUUAGAAUAUAGAAAUUCUUUCUAGCUCAAGUUAUUUUAAUAGAAGCUAUUUGCUAAGAUAUAAAAAACACUUCACACUGUGUGUUUCUGCAGGAAAAGAUUUGUGAAAAGACUUUAUUUUGGAAAACUAUUGCUGUUGCUGAAAAGUUUGAUAUAUCUAAACUCAUGUGAAAAUUUGAACUUUGCUUAUUUUGACUUUAGAUUUAGAUUUCAUAAGAGAAGUGUUAGAUAAGAGCCAAAUAGAAUAGGAGAAUGGGGAUAAAAACUUUAAAAGAUGCGCUGUAUCUCUGAAAUGUUCGUGUGUAACAUUGUGAAAGAGUUUGUUUAUUUUAGUGACAAAAAUUAAGCAUGGCAGCAUUAGAAGCGCUACUAAGAGGAAUGCAGUAAUGUGAUAUGCACUGAACAAAUGCUUUGGAAGGCCUUUGUUUUCUGUCCCAGAUAUUUGCCACACUGUUUAAAACAUUUUCUGAAAGUAGUAUUCAACAGGCUUUCACAGUUCUUAGUGGAAAUCAGCCUAGCAGAGUACUCAGAAGAGUCAGUACGCUAACACACGCACCAUAAGGUAUCAAGAAAACAAAUUAGAGUCCUUUUGUAUAGCUGUAUGGCUCACAGUCUGGUUGGGAUCAUAGAAAUGUGACAAUAUGGCUCAUGGCCAAACUGCAGGUGACGACAGAUUUGGGCAGUUUAGGACAUGCUAGCCAGGACACUGAGGAGUGGGACUGGCAGAUAAUACUCAAAAAGAGCUCUGCCUGAGGACAAAAUCUCAGACCAACUGAGACAAGCAAACUAAUGAAGGCAACAUUACAAUAGAUGUCUGCUACAGUCCUCCAGGUCAGAAACAGGUAGAUGAGGCCCUUUUUGGAUACCCUGAGAAAAUCUUCUGCUAGUGGACAAUUGACCCUUUGGGGUCUUCAUCCUCCACAGAAAUAUUUAGAAGAGUGAUACAGUUGAGUGAAAGCAAUCCAGGAGGUUUCUAGGAUGCUGAUGACAACAACUUGGCACAGGUGAUCAGAGAAGGAACAGAUGGAGAAUGCCCUGUUGAGUCUGAUAGUUGCGAAGAUCUGGUCAGAAAUGUGAAACUUGCAGGUAGAAUUAGCUGCAGUAGUCAGGUGGAGUCUGGGAUCAUGGAGGAAGGGAAAAGGUCAAACGGUAGGGUUAUAACCCUGUACUUCAGGAAAUCGGACAAUGUUUGACCAACCUGUUAGUUAGCCUUUUGAAAAAUUGGCUUGGUGGACUAGGGGAGGGCAGCAUCAUAUAUUGUUUAUUUUGAUGUCAGCAAGGCUUUCAGCAUUCUUUCCUGUAAUAUCCUUUAUAGACAAACUGAUAAAGUAUGGACUGAUAAAUGAACAGUGAGAUGGACUGAAAACUGGCUGAACUUCAUGGUUCGAGGGAUUGUUACCAGCAGCGCAACAUUCAGCUGCAGUCCCAUUACUGGUGGCAUAUGUUGGGUUCAAUACUGGCAUCAGUACUAACCAAAAUGUUUUCAUUUAUUAUUCAGAUGGUGGGACAAGGUGCAUAGUUGAUAAACAAUUGAGAGGAGUGGUUGACAAACUGGACUAUGCAUGUCCAUCCUGUGGCCUGUGGGCUGCAUGCAGCCUGGCCAAGCCCAUCCUGCCCUAAACUGUCAUGGCAGCAACUCUGGGCCCAUUCCAACCUGGCUCCAGGAUCACACCCAUCACUCACCAACAGCCAAACAUCGGUGUGUGGCUGGCACUAUCUGAGCUGAAACCAAGGCACUGGGAGGGUGUAGAGCAAUGCCAACUCAAGCUACGG